UACGUAGGUGGCUAGCGUUGUCCGGAUUUACUGGGCGUAAAGAGCGCGCAGGCGGUCGUUCAAGUCGGGUGUGAAAGCCCCCGGCUCAACUGGGGAGGGUCACGCGAUACUGAUCGACUCGAAGGCAGGAGAGGGUAGUGGAAUUCCCGGUGUAGUGGUGAAAUGCGUAGAUAUCGGGAGGAACACCAGUGGCGAAGGCGACUACCUGGCCUGUUCUUGACGCUGAGGCGCGAAAGCUAGGGGAGCAAACGGG
rnacentral:rRNA from 1 species